rnacentral:misc_RNA from 1 species
UCCGUGUUGACCACGGCAGUCUCCUAUGAGUCCCCACCAUUACGUGCUGGCAACAUAGAAUGAGGGUUGCGCUCGUUGCGGGACUUAACCCAACAUCUCACGACACGAGCUGACGACAACCAUGCACCACCUGUAUAGCGCCCUUGCGGACCCUACAUUUCUGCAGGUUUUCACUAUAUGUCAAGUCUUGGUAAGGUUCUUCGCGUUGCAUCGAAUUAAGCCGCAUGCUCCGCCGCUUGUGCGGACCCCCGUCAAUUCCUUUGAGUUUUAGCCUUGCGGCCGUACUCCCCAGGCGGGGCGCUUAAUGCGUUAGCUGCGGCACAGAGACCGUGGAAUGGUCCCCACACCUAGCGCCCAACGUUUACGGCGUGGACUAC